AAAAGUAGAAGAGGCAGUUGCGGACUCAAUACUUAUUUAGGGUCUGAGGAAAGUCCGGGCUCCCAAAAGACCAAGCCUGCUGGAUAACGCCCAGUGCGAGUGAUCGUGAGGAUAGUGCCACAGAAAAAUACCGCCAAAGUAGAUUAAUUAUUAUUGUUUAGUCACUUCAGGUAAGGGUGCAAAGGUGCGGUAAGAGCGCACCAGCAGUGUCGUGAGAUACUGGCUCGGUAAACCCCGGCGGGGAGCAAGGUCGAAGGAACAAUGGUUGGUCUUUUUCCGGUUCCAUUGCAUUAUAGAUUUAUUUGUAAUGUUUGGUGUACCGCAAGAGGUGUCUGGUAACAGGCAUCCCAGAUAGAUAACUGCCCUCAAAGCUUGUUUGAGUUGAGAGAACAGAACCCGGCUUACUUCCUACUUUUUCCU
rnacentral:RNase_P_RNA from 20 species